UGGUGGGUAGUUUGACUGGGGCGGUCUCCUCCUAAAGAGUAACGGAGGAGCACGAAGGUUGGCUAAUCCUGGUCGGACAUCAGGAGGUUAGUGCAAUGGCAUAAGCCAGCUUGACUGCGAGCGUGACGGCGCGAGCAGGUGCGAAAGCAGGUCAUAGUGAUCCGGUGGUUCUGAAUGGAAGGGCCAUCGCUCAACGGAUAAAAGGUACUCCGGGGAUAACAGGCUGAUACCGCCCAAGAGUUCAUAUCGACGGCGGUGUUUGGCACCUCGAUGUCGGCUCAUCACAUCCUGGGGCUGAAGUAGGUCCCAAGGGUAUGGCUGUUCGCCAUUUAAAGUGGUACGCGAGCUGGGUUUAGAACGUCGUGAGACAGUUCGGUCCCUAUCUGCCGUGGGCGCUGGAGAACUGAGGGGGGCUGCUCCUAGUACGAGAGGACCGGAGUGGACGCAUCACUGGUGUUCGGGUUGUCAUGCCAAUGGCACUGCCCGGUAGCUAAAUGCGGAAGAGAUAAGUGCUGAAAGCAUCUAAGCACGAAACUUGCCCCGAGAUGAGUUCUCCCUGACCCUUUAAGGGUCCUGAAGGAACGUUGAAGACGACGACGUUGAUAGGCCGGGUGUGUAAGCGCAGCGAUGCGUUGAGCUAACCGGUACUAAUGAACCGUGAGGCUUAACCUU
rnacentral:rRNA from 1 species